rnacentral:ncRNA from 1 species
GAUCCCAGCCGGAGGGAUCAUAGGACGCAAGCGAUUUUUUCGCAGCCGGUGUUCAGCGGUUUGCGUCCACAGCCGCCCAUCAGGGCAGGGUGAACUUCACCCCACGCUGUAUCAUACUGACC